rnacentral:rRNA from 1 species
CACGUAGGGUGCAAGCGUUGUCCGGAAUUACUGGGCGUAAAGGGCUCGUAGGCGGCCAACUAAGUCGGAUGUGAAAUCCCCAGGCUUAACCUGGGAACUGCAUCCGAUACUGGAUGGCUUGAAUCCGGGAGAGGGAUGCAGAAUUCCAGGUGUAGCGGUGAAAUGCGUAGAUAUCUGGAGGAAUACCGGUGGCGAAGGCGGCAUCCUGGACCGGCAUUGACGCUGAUGAGCGAAAGCUAGGGGAGCAAACGGG